CCUACGGGAGGCUGCAGUGGGGAAUAUUGCACAAUGGGCGCAAGCCUGAUGCAGCAACGCCGCGUGAGGGACGACGGCCUUCGGGUUGUAAACCUCUUUUAGUAGGGAAGAAGCGAAAGUGACGGUACCUGCAGAAAAAGCACCGGCUAACUACGUGCCAGCAGCCGCGGUAAUACGUAGGGUGCAAGCGUUAUCCGGAAUUAUUGGGCGUAAAGAGCUCGUAGGCGGUUUGUCGCGUCUGCUGUGAAAACUGGAGGCUCAACCUCCAGCCUGCAGUGGGUACGGGCAGACUAGAGUGCGGUAGGGGAGAUUGGAAUUCCUGGUGUAGCGGUGGAAUGCGCAGAUAUCAGGAGGAACACCGAUGGCGAAGGCAGAUCUCUGGGCCGUAACUGACGCUGAGGAGCGAAAGCGUGGGGAGCGAACAGGAUUAGAUACCCCAGUAGUC
rnacentral:rRNA from 1 species